rnacentral:misc_RNA from 1 species
AGAUUAGCUUAGCUUGGAAUGUCAGCGACUACCUUGACAAGCUUAAGAGCACCCUGUCCACUGUCGAAGCCGUUCUCUUGGAUGCCCAGGAGCAACAAGGAAAGAACCAUGAGCUUACCAUCAGGUUAUCAAAGUUCAAAGACGCCCUUUUUGAUGCAGAUGAUAUUAAGGUUCGUCGCUUCUUUUCCAGGUUUGAUAGCCCACUUGUGUUCCGUUUCAAGAUUGGAAAUAUAAUGAAAGAAAUUAGAUAGAGAUUAAAUGAGAUUGUUGAGAGUGAUGGCUCACUCAUUUGCUCAAGCUUUGGAUGUUUU